rnacentral:rRNA from 1 species
GACGAACGCUGGCGGCGUGCUUAACACAUGCAAGUCGAGCGGUAAGGCCCUUUCGGGGGUACACGAGCGGCGAACGGGUGAGUAACGCGUAGGUAAUCUACCCUAGAGUCUGGAAUAACCGGCCGAAAGGCUGGCUAAUACUGGAUAGAGCGACGGAAUCGGUAAUUCGGUUUUUCGGGAAAGGGAGGACGUAAGUCCCCUCGCUUUAGGAUGAGCCUGCGUCUCAUUAGCUAGUUGGUGGGGUAAAGGCCCACCAAGGCUGAUGGGUAGCUGGUCUGAGAGGAUGAUCAGCCACACUGGAACUGAAACACGGUCCAGACUCCUACGGGAGGCAGCAGUGGGGAAUCUUGCGCAAUGGACGAAAGUCUGACGCAGCCACGCCGCGUGAGUGAAG